GGUUGGUCCGCGAGCUGUGGGUUGUUGUUAAGCUGUUUAACAUUGUCUCCCCCCACAACCACAUUUGACCGGCUUUGCCUUUU
rnacentral:Y_RNA from 13 species